rnacentral:lncRNA from 1 species
AACCCACCCGCUCAUCACUGCGAACUGCUCACUUAUUGGGGCCUGUAGUGAAGAGCUCUGUCUCAAAAACUGCUGCUUGUGCCACUCCUGUUGGUCUAGCAUCUGAAGUCACUGUGUGUUCCACCUCUGAAACUUUCAGAUCUGGAAACACUGUUCACUUUAACCUAGAAAACUUCAAAGUCUUAUCUCCUAAACCCUCUUCUCCGAUCCAAACUAAUAAGGCUUCUGGUAUGUCUCCUCUCAUCCCAAAGCCUUUGCCUACUAAACCAUCAUGUCCCUCUGUCUCAAACCCCACCCUCUUACCCUCAACCUCUAAUCCUUCAACAAAAAAUUGUACCUCAAACUUACCCCCAACUCCUGACCCUGUCGGUGUGUCCCAAGCUCGGCCACAUUCAACUUAUGUGCCUCCCCUUGUUGAACGCCUUCGGAAGGUUGAAGACAAAACCCUAAAGCGUCUUGCACCGGUCACUCUAACUGACAAAGGCGUUCCUCGCGUACUAAUCCCUGAUAGCGUAUUCCAACAAGGUGCUGAGAUACACAAAGAUUUCAUCAUCUGCUGGUUUAAUGGACGACUGCCUCCAUUCAACCAAAUACAAAGUGUGCUCAAUCACAUGUGGGGAAAAGGGAAAAGAGUGGAAAUUCAUACUAACCCUUCCUCCCGCUCAAUGUUAGUUCGGAUUCCUUCUGACUACUUGAGACAGAAAAUACUUGAGAAGAGUGCAUGGUAUGUAGGUGAAUCAAUGUUUCAUGCUGUUCAGUGGUCUUCGUCAGCAUCCGCUACUAAGCCCCCUCUGGAAACUAUCCAGUUAUGGGCUCAUCUGACUGGAGUCCCUCUUGACCUCCGCCAUACAGAUGGAUUGAGCCUUGUUGCAGGUUUAGUUGGUGAGCCUAAGGAAACUGAUGAUUUCACUAAAAACUUGGUGAGUUUAACUCUCUCUCAUGUGAAAGUGGCUGUUGAUCUUUCAAAGCCUCUGCCAAGUGUAGUUGAAUUCAGUAGGGAAAAUGGUGAGGUCGUAGAGGUUCAGGUGGCUUACCCCUGGAUUCCGCCUACCUGCUCGCAUUGUAAGGAGCUUGGUCAUAUAGCUCGUAACUGCCUCCUCCUUCCCCUGCCUGAAAAGUCAGUGAAUACACCUGCAAAGAAAGUGCCCAAAUCAACUGAUGCUACAUCAAGGGAAAAAAAUAAAGGCCCCUUAGACCCACAAAGUAAUACUAAAGUUGAUGUUGCUUCAUCCUCCACUGCCAUACCUCCCUCACACCCCAUCCCUAUCUCUGAUCCAAAAACUAUCUUCUCUUUAACUCCCACCCAUGGUAACCUUCAUGACUCUUCAGUCAAUACCACUAUCAAAACCACUCCCUCUAAACUGCCUCUCAACUUAGUAAAAAACCAUCCCAAAAAACUCUCAACUCCACCUCUCUUCUCCCCCUUGCCUUCCGGACCCCUCAUUCCUACUCCCUCUAACCCUGAAAUCCCCUCCGGCCCUUUAAGCCCACCUGAUUCCUUCUAUGCCCCAUCCCUAAAAAGACCUCGACCUGCCUCAAACCCAAAAACCUUCCCUUCUUUCACUGAUCAACUCUCCUAUUUUGCCUCUUUUAAAUCACCCCUGAAUCACACUCUUACUCUCCCUCAGCCUUGUCCCUUAUCUGUCAAUCUCUCAAAAAACUCUUUCUCUGUUUUGGCUCUAGAUGGUUCUCUUCUCCAUGAAGAGACCAUUGACUAAACCCCUAUGUAUAAUAAAUUAUUUUUUUGGAAUGUCCGAGGUCUAAAUGACCCGGUCAAACAUAAGCCUUUUUGUGAUUGGAUAGCUACUCAUCAGCCCCUUUUUGGUACUAUUCUAGAAACACACAUAAAAGAUCAAAACUUGAGUCAAAUAAUGGGAAAGAUUUGUCGAGGUUGGAACUACACCUCAAACCAUGCUUCUGAUGAUGAUGGAAGGAUUGUGAUCAUAUGGAGAAAUACUAUUGCUGUUCGAGUACUCCAUCAGUCAAGGCAGUCUGUCACCUGUGAGGUUCAGAUUCCUGGUUGUGCCAUGUUCAUCUUCACAGCCAUCUACGCUUCAAAUGAAAGAGAUGAGCGCAUAGAUCUUUGGAUUGAUCUGUUAAAUGUCUAUCAAACUUACUCACUGGACUCUGUACCUUGGAUACUUGGUGGUGACUUCAACCAGAUCAUCCACCCAGUGGAGCAUUCACUCCCUGAUGUAAACUCCCUCACGACAGAUAUGGUUGAGCUAAAGGAUUGCCUUGUUCAGUUGGGUCUCUUCGACCUGCGGUAUCAGGGGCCUCUUUUCACCUGGACAAAUCAUCGGCCUGAAUCCCCAAUAGCUAAAAAACUUGAUCGGCUGCUGAUCAACAAUCCUGUUUUUAACAUUUUUCCUCAUUGCUCAGCCUACUUCCAUCCAAACCUAACCUCCGACCACACCCCUUGUACCCUUGACCUAGCUACUAAAAUCCCAUCCUCUGGCAACAGACCCUUCAAAUUCUACAACUACCUCUCUAAGCACCCUAGCUUUCUCCAAGUGGUAUCUGAUGCGUGGACACAGGCCGGAGACACUGUCGGGAACCUCACCGCACUUUACUGGAAACAAAAACAGAUAAAAGGAGAUUUGAAACAACUAAAUAAAGAGAAUUUUUCACAAAUCCAAGUGAGAGUUAGUGAGGCUAACCGUGUUUUGCUAGAUGUGCAGGUUCAGGUUUUACACUCACCAACGACUCAGCUAUUUGAAUUGGAGAAGCAAGCGCUCCAGACAUGGAACUUCUUGAGGGAAAUAGAGGAAAGCUAUUUUAAACAACGUUCUCGAGUCAACUGGUUGAAAGAAGGAGAUCAAAAUACUACCUUCUUCUACAGGACAGUCCAAACUCGACUGAACUUCAACUUCAUCCGGUCUUUCUUUCUUCCCUCGGGUGUCAUCAUCAUUGACUCUAUUCAGAUGAGUAUCCAUGCGGUCUCUCAUUUCCAAAGUAUUCUAGGGCCAGUUCCUGCCCCUCCUGUUAGAAUUGUGUCUUCCUCCCUCUGGUUUCACUCAUUGACGGGAUACUCUUGCUCGGAUAGUCAACGCUCUCAGAUGCUCUCAUUACCUACGGCAGAAGAGAUUACGUCAGUCAUGUUUAAGAUUAACCAGAAUAAAGCUCCUGGGCCUGAUGGGCUUACCUCUGGGUUUUAUAAAGCAUCAUGGAGUAUCUUAGGCCCUGAGGUUCUGCAAUCGAUCCAACAGUUCUUUCACUCCUCUUUCAUGCCUGCCUCAACGAACGCAACAAUCUUGUCAUUGGUUCCAAAGCACCCGGGUGCAUCACUAAUCACGGACUACCGUCCUAUCUCGUGCUUAAACACCAUCUACAAGGUUGUCUCGCGGUUGCUUGUGAAGAAAUUAAAGAUCAUCCUGCCCUCACUCAUUGUUCCGAAUCAGACUGCAUUUGUCAAAGGUCGACUGUUAGUGGAGAACACAUCCCUUGCAGGAGAGCUUGUUCAAGGGUAUCAUAAAAACACUGGUACUAAAAGAAUAACAAUUAAAGUUGAUAUCGCAAAGGCUUUUGAUACCUUGUCUUGGAGCUUCCUCUUCUCCUGUCUCCAAAGUUUGAACAUUCCUGAAAAGCUCCUCUCUUGGCUCAAAGCAUGUAUAUGUACGACGAACUUCACAGUAGGAUACAAUGGCUACGUGCACGGCUACUUCAAAGGGACUCGAGGCUUGAGGCAAGGUGACCCACUUUCACCCUAUCUCUUUGUGAUUGCUAUGAAUAAUCUCUCACUUAUGCUAAACCGUGCGGCCCGCGAGAUGAAAUUCAAGUACCACCUCAAAUGCCAGCCAUCUAAGCUUACUCAUUUGAGUUUUGCUGAUGAUUUGUUGAUCUUCAUAGAUGGAUCCCUAGCCUCUGUCCAAGCUGUGUUGCAGGUACUUCGAGAGUUUGAACUGAGAUCAGGUCUUGCUGUUAGUGUGCAAAAAUCAUCCUUCUUCGCCUCAGGUAUGACGGAAGCUGAAACGGACCUGAUCAAGUUCUCAACAGGCAUGCCUAUGGGUACUCUUCCGGUCCGCUACUUAGGUGUCCCCUUAUGCACGAAGAAAUUGUCGCUCUUAAACUGUGAAGGACUCCUUCAGCAGAUCAAAACCAGGCUUUCAUCAUGGAGCGCUAAAUCCUUAUCUUUUGCUGGACGUCUUCUGCUCAUCAAGACAGUUAUCACUGGCAUAACCACGUUCUGGUGCUCAACAUUUAUCCUUCCUCAAGCCUGCGUAAAAAGGAUAAAUUCCCUUUGUGGGGUCUUUCUUUGGCAAGGGAAUAUAGAGCAACACCAUACAGCGAGAGUUUCAUGGGAAGUAGUCACAAAACCUAAGAGGGAAGGAGGUUUGGGAAUUAAAAACCUCUCCAUCUGGAACAAGGCGUGUUGCCUCAAGCUUAUCUGGCUCUUGUUCUUCCAGUCAGGUUCGGUGUGGGUUGCUUGGUUCAAGACAGAGGUGUUGAAUGGUAACCUGAGCAACCUUUGGAUCACGCCCCCUAACCGUCGCUACUCAUGGCAGGUCAACAAGCUCCUUAAACUGAGCUCGGAAAUCUUCAGUUGUGUUAAACUAAGAGUGCAGAAUGGCCAGUCCUGUCUCUUCUGGAGUGAUAAUUGGUCUCCUUACGGUUCCCUGAGAUCUUAUCUGCUUGACGGUAGCGCUUCCACGCGGGGAAUUCCUGAUCAUGCUACACUAGCCACUCUACAUAUCAACAAUAACUGGAUGCUACCCCCUGCAAGAUCAGAGCGCUUGGUCAACAUUCAUGCGUUGCUAACGACAAUAAACCUUAAUGAGAUUGAGGACUAUUAUGAAUGGGAGGUUGAUGGAAAGGUAUCAGAUACUUACAGUAUGGGCAAAAUUUAUGAAAAGAUUUGUCUCGCAGGAGCUUCGGUGCCUUGGUGUGAAUCGGUAUGGAAUAAAGCUGGGAUACCCAGACACAGCUUCCUAACUUGGCUCUUUGUCUUGAAUCGGUGCCCUACUAGAGACAGGAUCAGAGGGUGGGGGUUUCAAACAGAUACUGCUUGCGUCUUGUGCAAUCAAGCCGAAGAGUCCAGAGACCAUCUCUUCUUCAACUGCCAAUACUCCUGGAGUAUUUGGGGUCGCCUUGCUCCAAGGUGUGGGAUUCGCCCUGAACAGAAUUGGGAUCGUGUUUUGAUGCAGAUUCAAUUGACAAGUCCUCGAUCGACGACUGGUAUGUUGCUUCGUCUAUGCUGGCAAGGAUGUAUAUACUGGACCUGGGGGGAGAGAAACGCACGGAUACACCGGCAAGUCUACCGCUCUGCUGAUUCAAUCUCGCGUACGUUGGAUAGGCAGAUCAAAGACAGGAUCCUUUCGCUUCGCCAUACUAGCUCCUCAAGAUCUUCAACACUGAUGCAGCAAUGGCUCAUCUGAGCAUUUUUAUCACCACCUCCUUCAACUU